CAUCAAUAUUCUGUUGUGCCUUAGUGAUUCAAACAUAGCAAAAAUGUGUCUGAGGCUGGUAACCGGUCAUUUGAGUUGAGGUGUACAAUAUAGCAAUUCAACAAUUCCAUAUAUUAUUCAGUGCUCCUCAAGAAGGUGACCAGCCCCCACUGCCACUGGGACCAAGACCCUAAAAGCAAAGAGUCAGCAGAUGAGGUCUUUGCAAGCUUUGUGCAGAGCCAAAGAAGAAGAAUAUCCACAGAAGAAUAUUUCAAGGUCAUUGAAAAUCUCCACCAACUUCAAAACCCUCUCCCAUUUUCAGUUUCUGAUACAUGAAGUUCCUUUAGUAGAUAUAUAGCUUAUGAGCACCAAAAGAAUUAUAAUGCUGAAAAAUAAAUUCCUAUGGAGAGAAGGAUAUUAUUGAUUAGGAUGUCAGCCCUGCUGCUGAAUCUCACGGAACCAGAUUUUUCUAAUCUAAUAAUGAAUUUGAUUUCAGUGGCUCUGUCAUCUCUUCCAGCUCCAUUUGUGCUGGCACCCAUCCUCCCCCUCCCCCACCCCAGUCAGCACUUCUGCCAAUUUUCAGAAGACUCAGCAAACACAAGUAAGUACUUGAAGAGGGACAAAGAUGGGGUAAAGAGGGAUGCCACCUCACUUUGCAUUGUGGACUUACCUAGUCAGCUCUGGCCCACC